rnacentral:rRNA from 1 species
CCUACGGGAGGCAGCAGUGGGGAAUAUUGCACAAUGGGGGAAACCCUGAUGCAGCGACGCCGCGUGUGUGAAGAAGUAUUUCGGUUUGUAAAGCACUAUCAGCAGGGAAGAAAAUGACAGUACCUGACUCAGAAGCCCCGGCUAACUACGUGCCAGCAGCCGCGGUCAUACGUAGGGGGCAAGCGUUAUCCGGAUUUACUGGGGGUAAAGGGAGCGCAGACGGCUAAUCAAGUCAGAAGUGAAAACCCAGGGCUCAACUUUGGGACUGCAUUUGAAACUGGGUAGCUAGAGUGCAGGAGAGGUAAGUGGAAUUCCUAGUGUAGCGGUGAAAUGCGUAGAGAUGAGGAGGAACACCAGUGGCGAAGGCGGCCCAAUGGACAGUAACUGACGUUGAGGUUCGAAAGCGUGGGGAGCAAACAGGAUUAGAUACCCCGGUAGUC